rnacentral:tRNA from 1 species
GCCGGAGUAGCUCAGUUGGUAGAGCAACCGAUUUGUAAUCGGAAGAUCGGAGGUUCGAGUCCUCUCUCCGGCU